rnacentral:lncRNA from 1 species
CUCACUGAUCUCACACAUUUAUCGGACAUUCCUGUCCCUCUCCCCGCCCCGCAUCAGCACCAUCACCUCCGCAAUAAAUAUCCUGAGAUUCAGGAGCUCAGACACAGAGACACGGAGGAGAUCCGGAGAGGCGCUUUAGCUCGGAUUAAGACGCAUUCUGCGCGCGCUGAAGAGGAAGCGGAGUACGGCGCACUGGUUUCGGGAGGGGAGAAACCUUCAGGUCAACAUGAAUGCAUUGCUAAACCUGAUGCUGCAGCUUCUAGCUGCUCUGUGCUGUGCUGCAGAUCCCACAGUGCUGGAUAUCAGACAGAAGCGAGGCACGCGCACAUAUAGAGGUG